rnacentral:tRNA from 1 species
GGUUGGAAUUAAUUUUAAUUUGAAUUGCAAUCAACAUUUUGUCUAUUUAGACC